rnacentral:rRNA from 1 species
GUGGGGAAUAUUGGACAAUGGGGGGAACCCUGAUCCAGCCAUGCCGCGUGUGUGAAGAAGGCCUUUUGGUUGUAAAGCACUUUAAGCGAGGAGGAGGCUACCGAGAUUAAUACUCUUGGAUAGUGGACGUUACUCGCAGAAUAAGCACCGGCUAACUCUGUGCCAGCAGCCGCGGUAAUACAGAGGGUGCAAGCGUUAAUCGGAUUUACUGGGCGUACAGCGCGCGUAGGUGGCCAAUUAAGUCAAAUGUGAAAUCCCCGAGCUUAACUUGGGAAUUGCAUUCGAUACUGGUUGGCUAGAGUAUGGGAGAGGAUGGUAGAAUACCAGGUGUAGCGUUGAAAUGCGUAGAGAUCUGGAGGAAUCCCGAUGGCGAAGGCAGCCAUCUGGCCUAAUACUGUCACUGAGGUGCGAAAGCAUGGGGAGCAAACAGGAUUAGAAACCCCGGUAGUCC